GAUGAACGCUGACAGAAUGCUUAACACAUGCAAGUCGACUGGAAUUCUCUUCGGAGUUAGUACGGUGGCGGACGGGUGAGUAACGCGUAGGAAUCUACCUAUCUGUGGGGGAUACCGUUUGGAAACGAACGUUAAUACCGCAUAAUAUCUUCGGAUUAAAAGUGGCACUUGUGCUGCUGCGGAUAGAUGAGCCUGCGUUAGAUUAGCUUGUUGGUGGGGUAAAGGCCUACCAAGGCUGCGAUCUAUAGCUGAUUUGAGAGGAUGAUCAGCCACAUUGGAACUGAGACACGGUCCAA
rnacentral:rRNA from 1 species